rnacentral:rRNA from 1 species
GGAGGGGGCUAGCGUUGUUCGGAAUUACUGGGCGUAAAGCGCACGUAGGCGGCUUUGUAAGUUAGGGGUGAAAGCCCGGAGCUCAACUCCGGAAUUGCCUUUAAGACUGCAUCGCUAGAAUUGUGGAGAGGUGAGUGGAAUUCCGAGUGUAGAGGUGAAAUUCGUAGAUAUUCGGAAGAACACCAGUGGCGAAGGCGGUCUGCUGGGCAGUUUCUGACACUGAGGCGCGACAGCGUGGGGAGCAAACAGGAUUAGAUACCCUGGUAGUCCACGCCGUAAACGAUGGGUACUAGGUGCCUGGGGGAGCGACCCUCUGGGUGCCGGCGCUAACUCAGGAAGUACCCCGCCUGGGGAGUACGACCGCAAGGUUG